rnacentral:lncRNA from 1 species
AUAAAAGCUCGCAGUUUAAAAACUUGCAGAUCACGAGACCUCGUCCCUUUUUCCGCCGUCUCUCGUCUUGGCAGCACCUCGCUCUCCAGCCGUCUUAUCGUCGGUAGUAGAGUAAGGCCUACCUUGAUUUUGGGACAUUCUCUCUCUCUGUGUUGGAUUUAUCAGAUUAAAUUGUAAUUAUAUUGUAUUAUAGUGUGUUGUUUUGCAUUCCGAUAUUUUAUUUAGUAAAUUAGUUUGUUUCUUCUCAGAUUGUUGCCGCUGUUCUUUGCUCUCAGGGCCAUCUCCUUACCCUUUUCCCCCUUUCCCCUUUUCCCAGGACGUGGGCCCUUGGGUCCCCCGUCCCCUUCGUCACGGAAUCGGGCCUAGCGCCCGUAAACCGUUGACACUAAUGAUGCUGGGGGAAUGCCUGUGCCAUCUCUCCAGGUACUCUCCAUGCCCCAGUCCUGUUCCUUAACACUUCCAGAGCUCAGGAAGGGGAAGUCGUCCUGGCUCGGUGUUUCCUUCAGAGGAUAAUUCCUGCUGCCCAAAUUGUCUUAUGCAAGAACGAUAUGGAGGAGUAAACCAUGAAAGCCCAUGAGGGCAUGAUCAUCAACUCCAUGCUGCUGAACAUCUCUGCAAAAAGCAGUGGGACGUACAUGUGUAGGUAUCAGCAGAAGAAUAAGAAAAAGUGGCUGAGGAGCUCUGCCCUCAGUGCACCAUUGGUACUACAGGUCACAGGUGGGUCAUGACACCAGGGUGGUAGGGACACAAGGGAUGGGAGGACUUAAGACCACAUGGAUGUCCCAUGUGCAGCAAGAGACGCCAUAUGGAAGGGAUCAUUUGUCCCACUUGGCCAUGUGUCCAGCUCCACGGCAGGGACAGCACCCGCAAACUUCCACGCCCAGCAGGACACCAGGGUCAUUGCAGUGGCAUCUGUGGCAGUCACCCUCCUCCUGCCUGCAGCCACCUAUUGGACCAUCAAGAAAGCUGAGGGGUUGUGGGAACUUUGAGGAAUCCAUGAGGUGGUCACAGCUCUGAUGUGGGUCUAAUCUUCUUGCAGGUGCCUGCAGGGAGAGAUGCCAAAGGUGAGCAGCAAGGGGCUGGGCUGGGAGAUUUGGGGUCACCUGUGACCCUCGGGUGCUGCUCCUUGUGCAGUGUCAGCUUUGUCCAUGGAUUCCCCUGUGCAGAUGAGAGAUUGCCAUGGGGUUGGAGAAGGAAGCAAUUCUCCAUGGGAAUAUCUCCAGUGACCCCUGGAUGCAUUGUGGAACCUCAACGCCUUUUCUCUCUGCUCACUCUGUCUCUCUCCAUGGUGCUGGUAGUGCUGAGGAAUCUUCUGAUGACCACGCUUCUUACUGUAAGUGCCAGGCCCUAUG